rnacentral:piRNA from 1 species
UGAAUGAAACUCUUGACCUCAACUC